CACAGUGACCUUCAUCCUGCAGAGCCAUGCAGACGCUGUGGACCCUCCUCUGCCUGGUGGCAGCUCCGCUGGGUGUUUUGUCUGAGCUGACCCUGCAGGAGUCGGGCCCAGGACUGGUGACGCCCUCCCAGACCCUGUCCCUCACCUGCUCUGUCUCUGGGGGCUCUGUCACCAGCAGUUACUACUGGAACUGGAUCCGCCAGCGUCCUGGUAGAGCGCUGGAGUGGAUGGGGUACUGGUCAGGAGGCACAAGCUACAACCCAGCUUUCCAAGGCCGCAUCUCCAUAGCCGCUGACACGUCCAAGAAUCAGUUCUCCCUGAAGCUGAGUUCCGUGACCCCAGAUGACACAGCCAUGUAUUACUGUGCAAGAGACACAGUGAGGGGACUUCAGUGUGAGCCCAGACACAAACCUCCCGCAGGGGCAUGAAGAACACCAGGGGGC